GUGAAAAUGAGGCUGUGAGGAGGUUGAGCCGAAGUACUUUAAAGGCGUUGAAGCAAUCCUUUACAUCGCUGUCUGUACUCUUGAAUGGUCACUCUAACAUCAGUAUAUCCGUGCACAGACAUCCUCGUUCCUGGCGAAGAGGUCUCUUGUGAGGGAAGAAGCUUGCCCAGUGCCUAGCUUUCCGUAUCCAGCAGAAUGUCUUCUGCAAAAACAUAUCUCCUUACUGCUGAGAAAAAAAGUGAAGGUCUGUUUUCACAGAUACUUUGAACAAAAAGAAGAUCCAAUCUUCGGCCAGAAAAUAGAUUAGCAUUUUUGAAGCUCUGUUAAACUUUGCGAAAUGCAUGCUUACCCUUCCUAUUUUCAUGAACUGAUUUUAUACUGUUACGCUUUUUAACAU
rnacentral:lncRNA from 1 species